GACGAACGCUGGCGGCGUGCCUAAUACAUGCAAGUAGAACGCUGAAGAGGGGAGCUUGCUCUUCUUGGAUGAGUUGCGAACGGGUGAGUAACGCGUAGGUAACCUGCCUUGUAGCGGGGGAUAACUAUUGGAAACGAUAGCUAAUACCGCAUAACAAUGGAUGACACAUGUCAUUUAUUUGAAAGGGGCAAUUGCUCCACUACAAGAUGGACCUGCGUUGUAUUAGCCAGUAGGUGAGGUAACGGCUCACCUAGGCGACGAUACAUAGCCGACCUGAGAGGGUGAUCGGCCACACUGGGACUGAGACACGGCCCAGACUCCUACGGGAGGCAGCAGUAGGGAAUCUUCGGCAAUGGGGGCAACCCUGACCGAGCAACGCCGCGUGAGUGAAGAAGGUUUUCGGAUCGUAAAGCUCUGUUGUAAGUCAAGAACGAGUGUGAGAGUGGAAAGUUCACACUGUGACGGUAGCUUACCAGAAAGGGACGGCUAACUACGUG
rnacentral:rRNA from 1 species